CAAUAGCGUAUAUUUAAGUUGUUGCAGUUAAAAAGCUCGUAGUUGGAUUUCGGUUAAGAGCGACCGGUCCGCCGUUUGGUGUGCACUGGUUGGUUUUAACUUCCUGUAGAGGACGUGCUCUGGGUUUAACGACCUGGACUCGGAGUCUACGUGGUUACUUUGAAAAAAUUAGAGUGUUCAAAGCGGGCUUACGCUUGAAUAUUUCAGCAUGGAAUAACACUAUAGGACUCCUGUCCUAUUUCGUUGGUCUCGGGACGGGAGUAAUGAUUAAGAGGAACAGUUGGGGGCAUUCGUAUUUCAUUGUCAGAGGUGAAAUUCUUGGAUUUAUGAAAGACGAACUUCUGUGAAAGCAUUUGCCAAGGAUGUUUUCAUUAA
rnacentral:rRNA from 1 species